CAAACCUCGACGGUUCCACCGCUAUAAAAUUACGUUUCACAUCUGUAAACUUACGUUGAUGGCCCACCCCUACCUCUAUCUCUCUCAACUGGAUCGACACCGCUGUCUCAAAAAAAAAGGUGGAUCGACAUUGUUUCUCUCUCCCUAGUCCAUCCUCGGAUUGCGGCGGCGGCGGCGGCGAUUGUGCCGGAGGGACUACCCGGAAGCGAGGGCUACUCCCCACCCUGGCGCGUGGAGUACUCCCCCAUUCCCUCUCUCAUGCGACCAGGAGGCGAAGUGGACAACGCAAAGUUCCGACGCGAGGUCUGCGGCGACAACGGCCUUCUCCUGCGUCCCUCCCCACCUCCGUCGGCUUCUAGCCGGAGCGGGGCAAAGGAAGAGGAAGAAGGCCAAGAAAGGAUCCCGGGUUGCCCUAAGAAGCUGCUCCUCGGGUUGCCGCCGUACAAUGAGGAGGCAGUGGACAGGAAGGGUGGAGCUCCUCGUUGAUCUCAAGAGCAAAAUUUGGGGUUCGGCCCGAACAAGAGCCCUCAUUCUGUCCGAUAAAAAAACGCCCUUAUUCUUUACGCGGUUCAUCCUCACUUCAUUUGGUCUUUUAUUGAAACUGCGAACAUACUGUGCUUGCUUCGUCAGUUACAAAUUUUUGAGGGCAAAAUAAGCUGAUUGGCAGUCUGUUGCUUGUGUGAAAGGGUGCCUUUUUCAAAAAAUAUUACGAAGGAAUUGAUGGCAAAGUAUAUUUGCAUUGAUGUUGUGGUAGUGGCUUGUGUAGACCAUGUUUGUUUCAGUAGGCAGUGCUGCAUAGAAGCACUAUCUCUGCAGCCUAAAGUCGCAGCAUUAUGUUGCACUGAUGUGUUCUUUCUUCUUUUUGUUUUUCUCCUAAGAUUUAGUGUUUCUUCUUUUCUGAAUAAAAAUAACACUAUAUUAUGGAUAUUUUUAGCGAAUAAGAAGUGCAAUCGUUGUUA